UCCCUGCUGGAACGCAGCAUGGCAUGAUGGCAACCACAGGAAAAAUGUCUGAAAUGGAACUAAAAGCCUUUGGGAGUGGCAUUGAUAUCAAACCAGGAACACCACCAAUUGGUGGUCGAAGCACCACGCCAACAUCUAGUCCAUUCAGGGCUACAUCAACAAGUCCAAACAGCCAGUCUAGCAAAAUGAACAGCAUUGUUUAUCAGAAACAGUUCCAGUCAGCCCCUGCCACAGUGAGAAUGGCACAGCCGUUUCCUGCACAGUUUGCACCCCAGAAGAGAGCUGUGGGAAGAGGACUCAGCCACAAGACAUUUGGUCCUAGGUGUUGGCAAAGCAGAGAGCAGAGGUUCUUCAGUCCACGCAGCGGUUCUUCUCUGAGCAGCAACAGAGCAAACAGAUAGGAGGCAAAGCCCAGAAAGUGGACAGUGAUACAAGUAAACCUGAGACACUGAGUGACCCUCCUGGUACCUGUCAGGAAAAAGUAGAAGAAAAGCCACCCCCUGCACCCACCAUAACCACCAAACCUGUUAGAACUGGACCAAUCAAACCUCAGGCGAUCAAAACCGAAGAAACAAAAUCAUAAAGGCUGUGGUUUAUUGAGGGUGGGUGGGCAGGGAAAGUGAAGUCAAAUAAUGCCAGCAGCCACGGGGUGAAGUGAUCUGUGGCACUGUCCUGUGAGAUACACAAGGGGCAUAGAGCAUUUUACACUGACAGCUGCUACACCGAUUACAACAAGGCUCCACAGGCUCGCACCUCCCGUGUAACAUUUGCAUCUUCGGUUGGUUUAUAUACAAGUGUGCAAACAGUCUGUAAGUGCGCACAGUUUAAUCUUAAGGAGCAUGAAACACCAGAAGUAGGAGAAGAGUGAUAACCACAGAGUAGCUCAGCUGGACACUGGGCAGUCCCAUUGCCCCAUCAGCUGUGGUUCUUUUGCUCCCUUGUGUUCUUUGGAUAUGUCUAUGGCAUUUCUAGGCUUGAAAGUAAGAUGAUGCUAUCUGGUGCUGGAUAGAGGAGCCUUAUUUUUUAUUAUGGCAGCUUGCUAUUUUUGUAACAUGGUGAUUUGGUUGAACACAAUAAAGUACAGUAGUAACUGAUCUCCCCUUCUUCCUGGAUGAGUGAGCAGAUGAUUAAAUGUUGGUGUCAGCAUCCUUGAGCAUAUUCAGAUGAGCUUCUGCUUCUGUUGAAAAGGAUGCUGUGUUUGAUUGUGGUCCGAAGCUUUGAAGCACUACUUGGCAUCUCCUUCCUUGGAGGUCUCACUGUUUAAACGUAACAGAUUUGAUAGCUUGUUGGUAAGGUGAGGUCCAGCUUGUCUCCACUAGGUCAUCUUCAUGUGAAUCCGGUGGUUAUACGGUUUUGUUUUAGGGAUAUUUCAUUUUUUUAAUAACGGUUUUAGCUGACAUUCAUGGAGAGAAUGAAUCCUUAGAACUGUGCCACUAGUGAAAGGAAAUCCUGUCUAGAGUAUGUUUCUUUACAAAGCUGUGUCACACACCAUCCUUUGGGCCCUCUGCUGGAAAAGUAGAAUCAAGUCUCAAAUAAUGCCUUUUAAAUUGUAUCCUCUAGUAUUAUAGAUGUAGGACAGUACUGUAUCAUACCUCUGUGGAUGUAAAAUAGCUUGUACCUGCUUUAUGAUACGUAGUAGUGACCGUGCUUUAUCAGAGCUGUUUUUAAUGAUGUUGCUCAGAAUGUUUUCUUUCCAGAUGAUGAUUGAGAAGCUAAUUUAAAAAAAAAAAAUGGUGCCAGGUACCACAAGAGUAACAGAACUGUGCUGUUUUCUGGGGUUUUGUUUUUUUACUUUUUUUUUUUUUUAAUGGAGUGUGCUGGAUGUCUCUACAGUUUUGUUCAGAUGACUGCAGAACCUGGAAAAGCUGUUGCUGCUGUUGAUGCAUAACACACUGCUAUUAUUGGUCUUUUUAUAUAAAUAUAAAUAUAUAUAUACAGAUAUAUAAUUUGAAUUUUUUGAAACUUUAGCUGUGCUGUCAACUUUGGAAAAAAGUAUCCCCGUUUACUGUGUUGAGUUGGCACUGUACAGAAAUUAACAGCCAUAUUGGUCUAGAAAUGUUGAACUUAAGUUUUUUCCAUUUGUACAGGGGUAACGCACUGUAUUAAAUAUGUAAGGUCUUAUCUACGUGGGUUUGAUUACAAAAACUAAUAAAGUAUUCUCUAAAUAAUG
rnacentral:lncRNA from 1 species